GAUAGCCGUAGAUGACAAAUGGGUUGAGGGUGGGCUGACUCACGAGUCGGACUUCAUGAAUAGUGGAGUCGUAGAGUCCUCCCCAGAACAUUGCUUUCCCCACGAGUAGUAAAGCCCCUACUCCCAAGAAAAUCAGGUGAUGUCCCAAGAUAAAGCUGAGUUUUUUGGGGUCGUCCCA
rnacentral:antisense_RNA from 1 species